rnacentral:rRNA from 1 species
AAGAAUUUAAAAGUCGAACAGACUUAAAAUUUGAACGGCUACACCCAAAAUUAUAUCUUAAUCCAACAUCGAGGUCGCAAUCUUUUUUAUCGAUAUGAACUCUCCAAAAAAAUUACGCUGUUAUCCCUAAAGUAACUUAAAUUUUUAAUCAUUAUUAAUGGAUCAAUUAUUCAUAAAUUAAUGGUUUUAAAAAUUAAAAGUUUUUUAAAUUUUAAUAUCACCCCAAUAAAAUAUUUUAAUUUAUUAUAAUAAAAAUAAUCUUUAUAAUUAAAAUAAACAAAAUAUAAAGAUUUAUAGGGUCUUCUCGUCUUUUAAAUUUAUUUUAGCUUUUUGACUAAAAAAUAAAAUUCUAUCAAAAAUUUAAAUGAAACAGUUAAUAUUUCGUCCAACCAUUCAUUCCAGCCUUCAAUUAAAAGACUAAUGAUUAUGCUACCUUUGCACAGUUAGAAUACUGCGGCCAUUUAAAAUUUUCAGUGGGCAGGUUAAACUUUAAAUUUAAUUCAAAAAGAC